rnacentral:rRNA from 1 species
GGAUUUUCUUAGUAGCGGCGAGCGAAAAGAAAUCAGUUCAGCACUAAGUCACUUUAUCUUUAUGGUAAAUGUGAGAUGCAGUGUAUGGAACAUCUUCAAUCUAGUAUGAGAAAUUGAUGAUUUAAGUCCUUCUUAAAUGAGGCCAAUUACCCAUAGAGGGUGCCAGGCCCGUAUAACAUUAAUGAUUACUAGAAGGUGAUUCCAAAGAGUCGUGUUGCUUGAUAGUGCAGCACUAAGUUGGUGGUAAACUCCAUCUAAAACUAAAUAUAACCAUGAGACCGAUAGUAAACAAGUACCGUGAGGGAAAGUUGAAAAGAACUCUGAAUAGAGAGUUAAAUAGUACGUGAAACUGCUUAGAGGUUAAGCCCGAUGAACCUGAAUAUCCAUUAUGAAAAAUUCAUCAUUAAAAUUGUAAUAUCUUUAUUGUAAUAUUAUAAUGAUAGUGUGCAUUUUUUUCAUAUAAGGACAUUGUAAUCUAUUAACAUUAAAUAUUUAUUUAUCAAAAAUUUAUAAAUUUCAAGUUUAUUCAAAUUACUAUGCAUUUUUGUAUUUUAACAUAGAAUAAAUAUUUAUAAAUUGAUAAAGUGUUGAUAGACUUAUAUUAUUUAUACGGUGCUUUAAUUUUUCGAAAUUAUAUAAUAGCAUAAUUAUCAAUGAUUUUUAUGUUUAUUAUAUGCACAUGUAUGAUUAACAAUGCGAAAGAUUCAGGAUACCUUCGGGACCCGUCUUGAAACACGGACCAAGGAGUCUAACAUAUAUGCAAGUCAUUGGGAUUUUAUAAACCUAAUGGCAUAAUUAACUUAACUUUUUUAUUAAUUGGGAUUAGUUUUUCAAUUAUAUAUAGUUGAUUAACACAAUCCCGGGGCGUUCUAUAUAGUUAUGUAUAAUAAUAUUUAUAUUAUUUAUACCUCUAA